rnacentral:misc_RNA from 1 species
AAGACUAUAGACCUGCGGAGUACCUGCGGAAGGAUCACUAACGUAAUCCGACGGGGGGCGUGGGUCGCCCUGCUCCGGCCUCGGCCGUCGAGCGGGCGCCUCCCCCCCGUAACACUACAAACCCACUGUGCACCUCUUCGCGGUGGAGGACGCGGCGCGAGCCCGUCCGAAGCCGUGGAACAACAAACUCUUGCGUCUCUGAAUGUCUUUGCGGACUCUGUUCCGCCCAAAACUGUGACA